GGCAUAUGAAAUAAAAUAUCAUUUUUAUUUUGAAAAGAAAAGAAUAAAAAUAUAUAGAAGAGUGUAUUGAGUCCAUAUCUAGCCUAUAUAUAAGGCCUAUUCACAUUUGUAAUAAUUUGUUAAAAGGUCUGAAAAGAAUGUAAAAGAAAUGAAAUGUUACAUUUAAGAUGAGAAAUUAUUUAGAUAAUAAUAUUAAAUAUUUCAUGAAAAGAUAUUUGAAAUCCGACUUUCCAAAUAAUAAAUAAUAAUAGACUGUAAAGCCUCGUUUUCAAUUGCAUUAAAUUUGGCGGGUGUUGCAAGAUAAAAGUGCGCCUAAAAUAUUUUGCGGGAGGUCCUUACAGAGUCAAGAGUCUGCCAUCAAGCAAUCGUUACAUGUGACAUAUGAUAGUCAUGGAAAGAAAAGAUAUGAAUGAAGAAAUCUGGUCUGGUCAUUAAAACAUUGAAAUGGUGGUUCAUCAGACUAAUUGAUCCUAGGUGAAGAUGGUAAUGAAGACAAUUCAACCCUGUAAGUCUCAUUGCACAGUGGUAGCCCUCUCUAACAUCACACAGUUUGUCCUGAACAAAAAAAUACUAAACUCCAAGAACUUGAAAGGUUGGUCAUCACUAUAUAGCCUCGCCCUCCUCCAUAGUGACGAUAUUGCGUGAAAUAACUGGAACAAGACAACAAUGAUAGACAGGAAGGUGAACAAGUUCCAAGCUAACAGCUAUUAACUAAAUUGUAAUGUAAAAAUAAAUAAUAAAACACAUUAUACUACUACAUCUAACAAAA